CUUUAAAGAUUUGAGAAAGUCCAUCCAUGGGAGCAGGACAAAGAGAAAGAAUCUGAUCAUCCCUAAGAGGUUUCAAGACUGGUGCCUGUUUUCACAACUCAUUAUUCCUGAGGGAAUUCUUUAGGAAAAAAAGUUGACAGGAGAU
rnacentral:lncRNA from 1 species